rnacentral:rRNA from 1 species
UACGUAGGGGGCAAGCGUUGUCCGGAAUCAUUGGGCGUAAAGCGCGUGUAGGCGGCUUGGUAAGUCCGCUCUGAAAGCCCGGGGCUCAACCCCGGGAGGCGGGUGGAUACUGUCAAGCUCGAGUCCGGAAGAGGCGAGUGGAAUUCCCGGUGUAGCGGUGAAAUGCGCAGAUAUCGGGAGGAACACCAAUGGCGAAGGCAGCUCGCUGGGACGUGACUGACGCUGAGACGCGAAAGCGUGGGGAGCAAACGGG